rnacentral:rRNA from 1 species
CCUACGGGGGGCAGCAGUGAGGAAUAUUGGUCAAUGGACGAGAGUCUGAUCCAGCCAAGCAGCGUGAAGGAUGACUGCCCUAUGGGUUGUAAACUCCUUUUAUAUGGGAAUAAAAUGUUCCACGUGUGGGAUUUUGUAUGUACCAUAUGAAUAAGGAUCGGCUAACUCCGUGCCAGCAGCCGCGGUAAUACGGAGGAUGCGAGCGUUAUCCGGAUUUAUUGGGUUAAAAGGGUGCGUAGGCGGAAGGUUAAGUCAGCGGUCAAAUGUCGGUCCUCAAAAGCGGCCUGCCGUUGAAACUGGUAGACUUGAGUGAAGGAGAGGUAUGCGGAAUGCGUGGUGUAGCGGUGAAAUGCAUAGAUA